rnacentral:rRNA from 1 species
UACGGAGGGUGCUAGCGUUGUUCGGAAUUACUGGGCGUAAAGCGCGUGUAGGCGGCCCGCUAAGUCUGAUGUGAAAGCCCGGGGCUCACCCCCGGAAGUGCAUUGGAGACUGGCGGGCUCGAGUCCCGGAGAGGAGGGUGGAAUUCCUGGUGUAGCGGUGAAAUGCGUAGAUAUCAGGAGGAACACCGGUGGCGAAGGCGGCCCUCUGGACGGUGACUGACGCUGAGACGCGAAAGCGUGGGGAGCGAACAGG